UGGGGGAAUAUUGGACAAUGGGCGCAAGCCUGAUCCAGCAAUGCCGCGUGUGUGAAGAAGGCCUUCGGGUUGUAAAGCACUUUUAUCAGGAAGCGAAACGCUGUCGGCUAAUGACCCGGCGGAACUGACGGUACCUGAGGAAUAAGCACCGGCUAACUUCGUGCCAGCAGCCGCGGUAAUACGAAGGGUGCAAGCGUUAAUCGGAAUUACUGGGCGUAAAGCGUGCGUAGGCGGUUUCUUAAGUCUGCUGUGAAAUCCCCGGGCUCAACCUGGGAAUGGCAGUGGAUACUGGGAGGCGUAGAGUGUGUCAGAGGGUGGUGGAAUUCCCGGUGUAGCGGUGAAAUGCGUAGAGAUCGGGAGGAACAUCCAGUGGCGAAGGCGGCCACCU
rnacentral:rRNA from 1 species